CUACGCGAGUGUCGUGUGCAAAGCACGGGCUUAAAAAGCCACGCAUAUAUAGGGAUCUCACAAACAGAGCAUAUUCUGAAAGCAAAAGUAAACCUGCUAUAAACUUUUUGAACCGCUGGAAAACAAAACUUCAAUUGAAAUGGAUCCAUGCAAUUGCGCAGAAACCGGCACAUGCCAUUGCGACCAAUGUACAGACUGCACCAAAUGUAAAUGUAAUCCAGAGACUUGCAAAUGUUCACAAGCGAAAAAAAGUUGCUGUCCAAAAUAGAAUAGUGAAGGCUUUGUUCGAAUCAUCGUUGGUGUAUAUAUAUCUUCAUCGUCAGUAUAAUCGAAGUAAAGAAUAUUAGCAAUGUUCAUUGUAUAAUUUGUGAUAUCAUUGAUUUGUAAAUUUUAUACGGGUGUUUUCAGCUCACGAAAAGCUGGUCUCAGGCAUGGCAAAAUCCAAUAGUUUACCCAAAGAAAGUAAUGUGUAGUUAGUAGUAGUUUUGACUAGAACAUUGAUCAUAGUAAAAUUUUUAUUUUCAAAGCGAUAUAUGUUUAUUCAUAGGAGUUGAAUAUGUUAAAACAGAAGAGAAAAGAAAACGGUUUUUACUAGUUAUCCGUUGUCUGUAGCACUUUGUCGAUCCAUCUGUCUGAUGCUCUGUUCUCAAUUUUUUUUGAAUUGGUCUAUUGAUAUUCUAUCUCUUUUGAUAUCACUUAUCAUUCGUUGAAAAAAAUUUUCAUCGAUAA